GCCAGCCUGUCCGAGUGGUUAAGGAGGUGGACCUGAAAUCCACUAGGCUCAGCUUGCGCAAGUUCGAAUCCUACUGCUGUCGCA
rnacentral:tRNA from 1 species